rnacentral:rRNA from 1 species
GACGAACGCUGGCGGCGUGCUUAACACAUGCAAGUCGAACGGUGAAGGGACCAGCUUGCUGGUUCUGGAUGAGUGGCGAACGGGUGAGUAACACGUGAGUAACCUGCCCCCUUCUUCUGGAUAACCGCAUGAAAGUGUGGCUAAUACGGGAUAUUCUGGGUCUGUCGCAUGGCGGGCCCGGGAAAGAUAUUGCUUCGGUUGGGGAUGGGCUCGCGGCCUAUCAGCUUGUUGGUGGGGUGAUGGCCUACCAAGGCGGUGACGGGUAGCCGGCCUGUGAGGGUGGACGGUCACACUGGGACUGAGACACGGCCCAGACUCCUACGGGAGGCAGCAGUGGGGAAUAUUGCACAAUGGGCGCAAGCCUGAUGCAGCGACGCCGCGUGAGGGAUGGAGGCCUUCGGGUUGUAAACCUCUUGCGCCAGUGAAGCAGGCCUGCUCCUUGUGGGUGGGUUGACGGUAGCUGGAUAAGAAGCGCCGGCUAACUACGUG